rnacentral:lncRNA from 1 species
UUUUUUUUUUUUUUUUGGCUUUGUGUCACUUUUGGGCCACAACUUUGGCAUAUGGAGGUUCCCAGGCUAGGGAUCUAAUCAGAGCUACAGCUGCUGGCCACAGCCACAGCCACGCCAGAUCCAAGCCACGUCUUCAACCUACCCACUGAGCAAGGCCAGGGAUCAAACCCAAAACUUCAUAGUUCCCAGUCGGAUUCGUUUCUGCUGCGCCACGACGGGAACUUCUACCACCUGUAUAUUUUCUUCAGUGAAGUCUUUUGCUCAUUUUUAAAGUUGGGUCGAUUUUCUCAUUGUUGACUUUUGAGGGUUCAUUGCAUAGUUUGGGUACAAGUCCUUUGGCAGAUAUGCAAUUUGUGGACAUUUUCUCCCCACCUGUGGCUUGUCUUUUCAUUUUCUUUUUCUCUUUUUUUUUUUUUUUUUUUUUUUUUUUUUUUUGUCUUUUUGCCAUUUGCUGGGCUGCUCCCUCGGCAUAUGGAGGUUCCCAGGCUAGGGGUCCAGUCGGAGCUACAGCUGCUGACCUACACACAGCCACAGCAACACGGGGUCCAAGAUACGUCUUCGACCUACGCCACAGCUCACAACAACGUCGGAUCCUUACCCGCUGAGCGGGGCCAGGAAUCGAGCCUGUGUCCUCAUGGAUACUAGUCAGGUUCAUUAACCUCUGAGCCAUGACAGGAACUCCGAGGCUGGCCACUUUUGAGUGUCCUGGCCCAACUUCAGGACCCUACUGAAGCCUGGAUCAUGGCAACUCCUCUGAAGUCCACCCUGUGAGGUCCUGCCUGAGGGCCCGGCCCACGAUCUUCAGGGGACCUCCCUCUGUUUUGCUUCCAAGCUCAGCGUGGGGGGCGGGGGCGGGGGUGGGGGAGGGAAGUCAGCUCCAGGGUGGGAAGACUGGCUUUCGGGGGACCUCCAGGGAUGGAAGGACUUUGUGUUUAGGGAGAGAAAAGUUUUUGGGGUGGAGUGGGAUGGCAAAGGAGAGAGCCUGGAACAAAAAAGAGUGCUCAGCUUAAUCCCUUCUCCCCACAGUGCAGUGCAGGGGACUGCUGUGCAAGGAGGUGGGGGAGGUGGACAAAAGGUUUAUUUCCAAAUACAGCAGAGCCGUCUUGGCUCUAGAGAUAGAGUCACUUUGCCUCUUUUCUUAGUUCCCAAAAGAAAGAUGAAAACCUCUCCUUUCUCUAGAGUUUUUAAUGCAGCCUGAGCUACAGGAUCUGAAAAAUAGCAAAUGGCUCUUGAGCAAGAAACAAACUUAGAAGUGGGGGUGGGGAUGGGGUGGAUUCAAGUUUUUCCAUUUUUUAGGGCCAUAUCUGCAGCAUAUGGAAGUUCCGAGGCUAGGGGUCGAGUCAGAGCUGUAGCUGCCGGCCUACACCACAGCUCAUGGCAAUGCUAAGCCUUAACCCACUGAGUGAGGCCAGGGAUCGAACCCACAUCCUCAUGGAUACUAGUCAGGUUUGUCCGCUGAGCCACAACAGGAACUCCUAUCUUUCCUUGUGAGCCAAAUUCCUUCUUAAAAUUAAAAAAACUGGAGGUCACGCACUUUGCUGCCAAGCU